NNNNCGGCUGGGCGCGGCGGCCGCUGCCCGUCGGAGAAAUCCCGCUCUGGCCUUACCGUCAUUGCCAAAUCCAUUAUAGCCGUCUCCGCCGCCGCCAUAACCGCCACCGCGGCUGCCACCAAACCCACCUGAAAAGAACAAACCGUUGGGGUUCAAAUCCGUCCGCGCGGGGCCCCGGGGGAGGUUUAGAGCUGCCGGAGAGAAAUCAAAAAAAAAAAAACCAAAAAAAAGCCAAAAAACCAAAAAAACCCACAAAAGAGCCUAAAAACCACCCCAAAAAAAACAAAAAAAAGCAAAAAAAAAACCCCAAAACAAACAAAAAAACCCCAAAAAACUCCCCAAAAAGCACAAAAAAGAAACAAACCAAAAACAACCAAAAGAAACAAACCAAAAACAACCAAAAGAAACAAACCAAAAACAACCAAAAGAAACAAACCAAAAACAACCAAAAGAAACAAACCAAAAACAACCAAAAGAAACAAACCAAAAACAACCAAAAGAAACAAACCAAAAACAACCAAAAGAAACAAACCAAAAACAACCAAAAGAAACAAACCAAAAACAACCAAAAGAAACAAACCAAAAACAACCAAAAGAAACAAACCAAAAACAACCAAAAGAAACAAACCAAAAACAACCAAAAGAAACAAACCAAAAACAACCAAAAGAAACAAACCAAAAACAACCAAAAGAAACAAACCAAAAACAACCAAAAGAAACAAACCAAAAACAACCAAAAGAAACAAACCAAAAACAACCAAAAGAAACAAACCAAAAACAACCAAAAGAAACAAACCAAAAACAACCAAAAGAAACAAACCAAAAACAACCAAAAGAAACAAACCAAAAACACUUCCCCGCCGAAUCCGCCUCCGCGGCCGCCGCCGAAAUUCCCGGAGCCGCUGCGGCCUAGGAGAGGGGGCGGAGGGGGGGGACAGCCUUUAGGAACAGAAGAAACAAACCAAAAACAACCAAAAGAAACUCAAAAAACAACCAAAAAAACCCCGUUUGGGACAGCCAAAUCCCGGCGUGGAGGGAGCAGAGCGAUGGCCCCAGCCGGGAGCCGGAGCGGUGGCAACGGAAGCGGCGGCGGCGUUUUGGGUUAGUUUAUGAUUUUUUUUUGGUGUUGUGUCUGGAGCCGGCGGCGUCCCCUGGCAGGGGGGGGAUCUGGCAGCCGGGGAGGGGUCCCGUGCC
rnacentral:lncRNA from 1 species